rnacentral:rRNA from 1 species
CCCGCCGGCGACCGGCGCACGGGUGAGUAACACGUAUGAAACCUGCCCGUAGCAGGGGGAUAAGCGGAAGAAAUUCCGUCUAAUACCGCGUAACAACCCAUGGAGGCAUCUCUGUGGGUUUAAAGGAAGCGAUUCCGGCUACGGAUGGUCAUGCGUCGCAUUAGCUUGUUGGCGGGGUAACGGCCCGCCAAGGCGACGAUGCGUAGGGGUUCUGAGAGGAAGGUCCCCCACACUGGUACUGAGACACGGACCAGACUCCUACGGGAGGCAGCAG